AUGGGCGAUGAACUUGCAGUCUGCGUCUCCCCCACCAGAAGACAAGCUCCUGAGGCCCAGACUUGCUUUGUUCACAGUAGACGCUCGUUUACUGAGUUACUGCUUGCUGAGGAAAUUAAGCUCCGUUACAGGCUUUUACUUACCUCCGCAGGGAGCCGCCUUAGAGGCCACGGAAGGACCCUGAAGCGAGCGGAGAGGGGCGCUAAGAUCCCCUCUAGAUGUCUUUCAGAGGCAACAUCCUACCCUGGUUAUCUGAAAGUUGAAGCGCUGAACUCCUCAGCGGCCUGUCAUCCCGUCAUCUCAGGUCUGUUUCCCGAAUGUUCCUGCUACAGGCGGCCACUGUCCCCAGCCGGGCCCAGGCUCCUCCCCUGCUUCCUUCUUCACCUGCUCCCAGGAAAGACAAGCACUUUGAUGGCAGGGACAGGUUGUAGCCCAAGUCCUGGUGAAUUCUGGAGAAACUGGCUGGACUUGCGUCAUUGAUUAAUUGACACGUUUGGAUUUUCAACCCAGGAGCUUAAUUAAGGCCACUUGCCUUGGUGGGGGCUGGGUCUCAUAUUUCAGGGAAACCCCCUCCAAAGCUCUGGGUGUCCCAGACCUCCAAGCAGUCUGGGAUGGCUGGUUACCGCUGGUGGCUGGUGUCUGGAGACCCCCUAGUGGCCAGCACAAUGGUGACAUACAAACAGUGCCAGAGAUCAUUCAUUCGUUUACUCAGCACAUGUUUAUUAAGCACCAACCUGGCUCAGGCACUGCUUUAGGGAAAUAGCAGGGGACAUG
rnacentral:lncRNA from 1 species